CCCUAACGAAUCUGUCAACAGCACAUCUUUAUCAAUGUGAUUUCUCUCAGCAAGACAUUAACCACCUGAAGGAACGUCGGUAAACAUGACGAGGACUCUGGGAUUUUUGAACGAGAGAAAGGAGCAAACUGAACGGACUACAAAUAUGGAUACUCUUGCAGUUUCAAGUGUGUUCUGGGGGGCUUUCACUGACUCACUCUCCCACAAAAACCAUCUUUAUUUUCUGGUCUUCAAAGGAGGAAGUGGACACUGAAUGAUGAUCAUACAACGAGGAAUCAAACUUAUGAAACAAACUGGUGUGAACACAAAUGAUCAGAAAUCUUUAAAACCAGGACUGCAGUUAAAGCAGCUCGGCUGAAGUGAAGUGAAGCAGAUGGGAUCACAAAAAAAGUGAAAAAAGACUUUAAAUAUCAUGGAUGAGACGAAGACACAAAGUUACAUCAAACAUCAAGAUGAAGACACAAUGAAAGUGUUUCCCAGUCACUUCUGUCAUGGGAACAUUCAACAACGUCUGGAUUUGUGGCCACAUUUUCUUCAUGACCAUGUAUCUCCAAUCCCUUUGAAACCACAGAAGAUUAUGUGUUUUAUAAAACGUACAGCUCAACAUCUAAGGUUCAACCAAUAAAACCUGAGGAGUCAUCUACUCCAGUGAGUAUGAUUAUUUUGUAUCUUCCUUUAUGGAUGCAAACACACACACACACACACACACACACACACACACACACACACACACAUACACACACACACACACACACACUCUCACAUUAUAAACAACUGUAUUUGAUACUUAAUCAUGAAACAUUAUUAAAACAGUAUAAAGAUAUCUGUCCUCUCAUUAUCAUAUGAAUCAUGUUUGAU